rfam:Gorilla gorilla gorilla genomic chromosome, chr2A, whole genome shotgun sequence
AUACUUACCUGACAGGGGAGAUACCAUGAUCACAAAGGUGGUUUUCCCAGUGCGAGGCUCACCAUUGCACCCCGGAGGUGCAGACCCCUGUGUUUUCCCCAAAUGAAAAAAAUAAGAAAAGAAAGAAAGAAAGUUUCGUCUUCCA